UGUCGAAAUCUUCAUUCACAAUCACCAGAUCAAUAUAUUUUUCGUAAGCACGCUGCAAGGCCGCAGAUUCUUCCAACGUAGCCUUCAAAUCAUCUUCCUGAAUCAAUAAGAAAUAAAUUUAAUUUAAUUUUGAAAAGUUUGAGUGGUAAAUUUUUAGCAGUUACUAUAUAUCUACAAGCAAUUACACUACAUUAAAAAAAU